AUUGCUGUUCGUCGUGGGUGUCGUUCUGCCUAAGUUUCCGAAACACUUAAGAAAAUUUUGUACAAUUGACAUGAGCUCAAUGGUGGAAAUCAUUUCUCCCAGCCCGGGUCUCCAAUGCUGAGUUAAAGAAGUCUUUGAGAAAAGUAAAUUUUGGCGAGUGGGAAAAGUGCAGUGGCCUAAUCAGGUUGAUAGGCAGAGGAAAUCAUGAUAUUCGUAAACGUGCUGAUCAUCGUCAAGGGAUUGCCAUUGCAAAAUCUCAAAGCUGAGGACUCCACCUUGAGUUAGCACCAGACUGACAAGUCACUUCCCGAGAAGCAUUUUCCUGAAUUUGAAUACAGGAAUUUAUCGGAAUUCGGACCUAAUAGGCUAGUCACUCGGUGGCAAAUCUUCCUAAGAUUUUGAAUAUUAGAGUUUUUUUAGAAUGAGAAUCUUCAAAGAUUUGUGUUAAUGCCAAAGCACUAAAUA